rnacentral:RNase_P_RNA from 1 species
GUAACUGCAUCAGGUAACCGCGGGUACAAUGCCGCGAGGCUGUAUCUGAGGAAAGUCCGAGCUCCAUAGGGCAGGGUGCUGGAUAACAUCCAGUGGGGGCGACCCUAAGGAAAGUGCCACAGAAAAGAAGACGCCGAAUGAAUGGAAACAUUCAUGGCAAAGCUGAAACGGUGCGGUAAGAGCGCACCAGCGCUCAAGCAAUUGAGCGACUUGGUAAACCCCACCCGGAGCAAGACCAAAUAGGAGGGAGAUAAGGCGGCCCGUCUUUCCCUCGGGUUGGUCGCAUGAGGUAUUGGGCAACCAAUAUCCCAGAUAAAUGGUUACCGCCGGCGUAGCCGGUACAGAACUCGGCUUAUCGAGCAGUUACAGUC